rnacentral:rRNA from 1 species
AUUGAACGCUGGCGGCAGGCCUAACACAUGCAAGUCGAGCGAGUGGCGGACGGGUGAGUAAUGGCUGGGAAACUGCCUGAUGGAGGGGGAUAACUACUGGAAACGGUAGCUAAUACCGGAUUUCAUCAGAUGUGGCCAGGUGGGAUUAGCUAGUAGGUGGGGUAACGGAUCACCUAGGCGACGAUCCCUAGCUGGCCUGAGAGGCUGACCAGCCACACUGGAACUGAGCCCGGGUCCAGACUCCGACGGGAGGCAGCAGUGGGGAAUAUUGCACAAUGGGCGCAAGCCUGCUACAGCCCGGCCGCGUGUGUGAAGAAGGCUUUCGGGUUUUAAAGCACUUUCGUCGGGGAGGCGUUACCCGCAGAAGAAGCACCGGCUAACUCCGUGCCAGCAGCCGCGGUAAUAC